GUCAGGUGUAAUAACAUAAGUGACCAGCAGAGGGAGCUAUGUAUUAGAGCGUGUGGUGCGUUUAGUAAACAGGAACACACGAUAAAGAAGUAACUAGAGGAGGUAGGAUGUUGAAGAGACACGCAGGUAAUAUAAUAAAGUUCGAGCGCAAGCUCAUGUUCACAAGAAGAUGUUUCGUCAUUUAAUGAUGAACAACACAUGAUGACAGAGGAGUGGUCAAGUGUUUCUGGAACAGACUUCCGCUUUUAGCUUUAAUAUCAAUAACUUUAAUCUCUCUCUCAGAGUUUAGCUCUGGCGCCAUCUUGUGACAGCCAUGCUAACAGCUCUGUGAGGCUGCACUGUGGAUGAGUGGUGGUUAAAGCUAAAUGCUAACACAUUAGUUUACCCUGUUAGCAUGGGAUACGUCCACGGACGUGACUCACGCAGGGCGACGUCAUCACGUAGAACGUGCAGAGAGUGCCGUCAGUCUCCUCACCUUCAGUCUCUGAGUCUCUUAUCGUCCGGUCACAGAGGAACCUGGAUUAAACUUCUCUCUGGACUUUCAUCCUCCUCUUGGCUUUCCUCUCCUGCUCACCUGUUGCAGGAAAUGCGACUCCUCAUUCUGCUUCGAGACGACCAGCGGCUCUCCUUUUAGCCUCAACUCGAACUGUGGAAAACCAGCACAAGGAGCUGCAUCAUUCAAGAUGGAACAGCGAAGUGUCACCUUCUCUCCCUCCACCACAGGAAGUCCGGGGCUCUCCAGGAUCACACCAUCUGAAAUAUAGAAAUAAUUCUAAUUGUACAAAUGGUUUUAACAGCAUAAUAUAUAACACAAAUAAGC